rnacentral:rRNA from 1 species
AUUGAACGCUGGCGGCAGGCUUAACACAUGCAAGUCGAGCGGAGAUGAGGUGCUUGCACCUUAUCUUAGCGGCGGACGGGUGAGUAAUGCUUAGGAAUCUGCCUAUUAGUGGGGGACAACAUUCAGAAAGGAAUGCUAAUACAGCAUACGCCCUACGGGGGAAAGCAGGGGAUCUUCGGACCUUGCGCUAAUAGAUGAGCCUAAGUCGGAUUAGCUAGUGGGUGGGGUAAAGGCCUCACAAGGCGACGAUCUGUAGCGGGUCUGAGAGGAUGAUCCGCCACACUGGGACUGGGACACGGCCCGGACUCCUACGGGAGGCAGCAGUGGGGAAUAUUGGACAAUGGGCGGAAGCCUGAUCCAGCCAUGCCGCGUGUGUGAAGAAGGCCUUUUGGUUGUAAAGCACUUUAAGCGAGGAGGAGGCUACCUGGAUUAAUACUCUAGGAUAGUGGACGUUACUCGCAGAAUAAGCACCGGCUAACUCUGUGCCAGCAGCCGCAGUAACAC